GAAAACAUAUCCAACUGUUGUAGAAAUUAAUUUGCACUUGAACAUUACAGGCCAACAAGUGGACAUGUUAGAACAGAAGAAAGGAACACAGCAAAAACACAUUUGAAUGCUCCAGCUGAAUAGUGGUGUACAUUUUGUUUACCGGAUUAUAUACUGAUCUAGUUAGCACAGUUCUCAAUUGUUUUGGUAUGCUGCCUGCUCUUUUGUUGCCAGGGGUUACUAUCCUCGAGCCCUGUGCAAGCAAAACAUCUUUUGUUGAGAUCCAUGCUUCCAAUUGCUCAUAACUUUCUUACAGCCCAUGUAUAUUCUGAGACAAAACUGUUGGCAUAUUCUAUUGUAGUUGAUGAACUGAUACUGGAAAUGGAAAAUUUGACAACAGCUGAAGCGGAUAUGAAGACUGUUGACAUGCUCUGGGUUUUAGUUUCAGGUGGCUGACUCGUUUGUAACUUGCAUUUCAAUGUUUUCAUAUUUAAAUAUGCAGUUUUACCUUGUUCCAUACCUAAAUCUGGAGAUAGAUAUCAACUGUUACAAUUGAUCAAUCUCCAGCUAUUUUAUGAGUUCUUCUAUCACUCUAUUAUUGCAUGAUUUUCCUCAUGCAUGCACUGUUGUGUAUGCACCUAUUAGGCUAUUACCUUGCACAGGGCGGUACACUUGCAUGGUUAGUGCUGUAAAACAGAACAGAAUGGCUAUGUAGGUCAUAGAAGGUACCACACACCAUUAUUGUUUGUGGAAGAUUAUCGUGCUGGGCUAUACGCACAUGAAUUACAGGAUAGAAAUAUGGGCUAUCUGCACAUGAAUUGCAGGACUGAAAUAGGAAAGAACACAGCAUUCGCCAGGUUACUUCACAGACCCUCUGCAUUUGAUAAAGAGAGGAUAUGGGACAUUUGUAGGUCGUGAAAUCCACAAGCCAUGUGCGGACGUGUUUAAGCUAUAAUGCCUAUGUCCCGAAUUGGCCACAAGUGGAAUGACUUGUGUCGAAGAACUGCAAAUUUUCAAGCAUUAACCACUUUUUUUUUUAAUCUUUUCCACCCUUCCCCCUCAUUGAUCCAGCUAAGAAUCCAAUCAUGGAUGAGUUGCUCCAAAACUCUCUCCCCCGUGUUCUUUUUUUUUUUUCCCUUUUUUCUAAUCCAUUUUAAGUUUGUCAAAAUUAGACUGCUAUGCUUUGUUAAGAACAUUAACCACCACCAGCAGAUCAUUCCUUCCUAGCGCCAUUUCCCGAAACACAGAAAAGGAACACCCACUGGUUGGACUUAUAUUGCAUUAGGGAACAAUCAGCCACAGGUAAUUCAAUUAACCAAGAGAAGCAACUUUCCCUAUCGAUGGCAAAAGCUCAUACUUACAUGCUUCAGUAGAAGCGGAAGCCCAAGAAGGGCCCAGGCAGAAAACAUGUCAGUCAACAAUUAAACGCACAAACCCAGAAUGCUUAAACAAUAAAGAAAACACACACACGCACAAACAUGAUGAUUCACCAAGAGGAACAGAGUGGCCAUCACUCAGGCCAAGUAAACAAAUUCAAAAUACAGAAUUCCUUUUGCUUAAAAUUGUAGUUGACUCGCGAACACAGUAAUUUACCAGGGGAGCUAUAAUUCCUGUAUAAGAGACACUCAUUGAUACACUCAACUUGGGCAUGCAGCUCAUACAUAGCUGUCAAUCAAUGACUUCCUCAUCUCAUCAACAAUGGCACUAGGUUGAGCUUCUCUUAACUUGAAAACGCUCUCUAUAACAGACAAUUCUGUUGCGGUAGUGUCAGAUCCACAAAAGGCUGUCCAGUCAUUAACUGUCAGGCCAGCAGCGAUUACUUCACUACCACGAUUCACUGUCCCUGCCACCAGUGGAACCUGUAGGAGCGUAGAGAGUUCAUCUAGGUCCUCUAUGGACGUAUGAGGAUGCACCUGAGCAACAACAGAUUCAGUGAGAAACAGACACGUGCUCUUAACUCUAACUUCAUAUUUCAUUAGCACAAAUCACAGAAUUAAGGAGUUUUAUAUCCGUUCAAAUGUUCACUAAGUACAAGGUGCACUGCUUACCAGGCCACCCCUAUUUGAAAAUGCACAAUAGCUGCCCACCAAAAUAUUUCCAGCAAUUGUCUGUCUAAAAACUUCUACUCCAAGAACAUCUGCAAUCAUCUCCUCAGUUUCCUAUGAGAAGACACAGCACACCAAAAUUACCAGCUUAAUCAAUGAUUAAAAUAAGCUCAUUUUGAUUUAGACAGUAUAUCAUGCUCUACCCUUCCUGAAAAAAGUUAUAACCAGACAGAGAAAAGCUGAAUAAUUAGCAUAAAAUUAAUAAGGUAGAUUCCAAGUGAAAUAUCAAAUUGCCAUUGAAGAAGCAAAAUUUGAAACAAGUGCAGAAAGCAUCCAGCUGAAUAUCACCACAACCUAUUUGAGGCUUUUACCAAGAGGGAAAUGCAUGCAUACAACAAGAACUGCUGUCAGCAUUGAGAAGCAUGCAUAGACUUCAGAUUUGUCACAUGACAGGCAUAGGAUGUACAGGCAUAUAGAUAAACAUAGGGAGGAAGAGUCUAGAUGACACAUGCAAGUGUUUCAAUCAGGUCAAUUGCAUUCCCAGACAAUAUAAGAAUUGGAAAAGCACUGCUUUAUUAGGUAUAGCAAAAUUGCCACUAACUUUUUCACAUAAGAUAUAUGGUAUCCAAAUCAUUAAGCAUGUUAUUAUCAAGGGAAAGGACAAUAUUACCCUGUCGAGAUCGGUGUGUGUAAGUGCAACAUGAUCGUUGCAGGCAAUGCAGUUUCCCAAUGCAGAAAGUCUCUCAUCAAUGCGCUGAACAACAACUGAAUCUGGUAGACUAUUCCUCAAAUGCUGAAGUUCUUUAUCACAUAUAAUGUAAAUCAAAGUCAGAACCUUGAAAGUCCAUAACACAUCCACAAGCAAAGGUAGAUAAUUCUCAUAUGCACCACAACUUUUUUACGAACAAAUAGUGAUCUUAUGAUGACAUGUAAUACGUCAUCAAUUAAAUCCAACAAAAACAUGGUCAACCAACCCAAGAAGAAGACAAAUGAAAAAGGAAAAGAACAAAGAUUAUACAUUGCACAGUGUAGCUGAAUAUCAAUACUUGAAAGGAAAAUUAUUUGCUUAAAAAUUUUAAAGCUGUGAAUCAAAAGAUACACAAUAACUGUACUAGCAACAAGUUCAUGAAGUUGUUACCUUGAUCGGUGGUAGUAUGCGGUAAGAGAAGCCCAUUCUUGUUUCCUAAAUGAAAAAAGGGGGAAAGUUAUCCUAUCUAAACAGUCAUUCCAAUGGUACUCAUGUCUCUACAAGCAAAAUAACUCUAAGAGCCUUCUAAAGUCCUCACCAGCACAAAGUCUUCCAAUGAUCCUAGUGCCACCAAUCGCGGUCUUCACUACCGGAAUUACAUCAGCCAAUUCUGCCUCAAACGUACUACAAUACACAAUAUAUAGGUUACACACAAGAAAAAAGAUUUGCUGAAGAAAAAGGGAAAAUAAAUUUUAUCAUGUUAGUAGAGUAGCUUGAAGCGAACCUGUAGAAGUUCUCAGAACCUCCAAUGGCGACCAAGCAAUAAGCAUUGGUCAACUUAGAAAAAACUCCAACUUCGCAUGAAUUCUCAAAUUGCAAUCCUAAAAUUAAAAGCAACGAUAAUAAUUAUGAUAUUAAAGGAACAAUUUUCACGCCAUAAAUCAGCUAAAAUCAAUUCUUUUUUUUAACUCAAUGACUUAUUUGAACUGGAAUACUCACUGGUAGCCAUGAUUCCAAGGAUAUCAAACAAAUAUAAACACCUACUCGAUAUUAGAUCUGAAAAGGGAAAAAAUCCAAGAAGAAAGGAUUGAACAUGGAAAGAAAGAAUAAAAAGCAGGAACAAAUAAGAAUAAUAAUGAAAUCAAUUACGGAAUUCUUACAAUCAAGAAAUCGAGGUUCUAUUGAAAAUUCGUAGAUUACCUAAAAGGGAUUUGCUGGGAGAAUGAUUUGAACGUUCAGCAGACGCUAAUCAACGAGAACAGAAACCCUGAUUAGUGUUUUAGGGUUAGGGCUUAUAACCAAGUCAAAAUAAAGAAUCCAAACGGUGAGAGGCUGAGAGCUGUUUUGUUUUCCUGGCUUUCCCCCUCUCUUUUAUUUAUUAUUUUUUUUUGGCGAUAAUUUGCGGAGGUUGUUUGGAGCCAGACGCUGAAAGGGCCUUAUAUGAAGGCCCCUUGUAUGUCGCUGUUGAGGAUUCAACUUCUCGACCAGUUUGGGCCAGAUUUAUUUAUUCCCCUUUCGGCCCACGCGGAAACUUCACCCUUGUAUCCCAAGAAAAAAAAAAAAUUUCUCAUCUUUGAAAUCAACAUUGACAGUCAACAUAUUAGACAUCUCACGUCAUUUCUUGUGAAGAACGUUGAAAGCUUGAUGAUCAAGAAAAGUUGGAUGUGAGCAGGCACAUAUUUGUAGUAUUGGUUUGUUGCAUAUAAUUUCACAUGGGUUUUGAAAUCUACCCUGAUGGAGUUAUUUUCUAACUACUUUGUUUUUGUACUUUGUAUUUAAAGAAUCAUACAAAUACAGCCAAAAAAUAGAUUGUCCAUUAGCAUAAUUCAAAACUCAUUUUGUAUAAUUUAUGCCUUCAGCUUCUUCAAAAUCAUGCUAAUUGCCAGUCAUUCUUUGCGACAAAUUCAGAACAUGUAAUUAGGUAAACUCAGCGUAUUUAACCAAAUGCUAUCUCUUCCUUUAAAAUUGUCUUACCAAAUAUGCCAGGUUAAGUCUGAGUCUCAAAAGAUUCAGGCACUAUUUGGAUUGAGGGAAUGGGAGAGGAAUCGAAGAAAUUUGGUUUUUGUUGUUUGGAUUGACUUUUAAGUAGGGAAAGGGUCUAAUAAUUUUGUCGAAAUAUGGUUUUCACUCAAAAAUGGGCGGAAACGAGGGAAAUGAAAAUAAAUUAAUUUCAAUAAUUUUAAAUUUUUUUAAAAAAGAUCAAUUUUGUCUAUAUUUUCUGGUAAUUAAAUACUUGGUCUUUUACUUUCCUUUCUCUUCCUCUUCAAUCCAAACAAAAAAUUAGUAUUUUCUUUCAUUUCCUUCCAUACUUAAUCCAAACAAAAUAGAUGGACAUCACUUUUCUCUACUCUCCUUUCUUUUCUUUUCCAUUAGUAUCCUUUUCUUUCCCUUCCUUUCCGUCAAUCCAAACGGUGCCUUAGAAAUUAUGGGAUUAAUCGAAUUCAGCCUUGGGCAUGCAAGCAAAAAAUACAUCUCCGAGUUGUAUUCAUGUAGCCAAGUAUACAACCUUUGGCCUUCGAUUGACCAAUCCAAGUCCAGCCUUUUAUCCUUGAAGACCAAAAACAAAUAGGAAAAAUUUUUAAAGGAAUAGGAAAUCCUCCGUGCUCCAGUGCAAUAUUCUUAUGAGAAUUGAAAAUGAGAGAGAGCUUGUAUUCUAUAUGCGCAUUAUGUCGACAUGAUCAUGAAUGUUAUUGUUGCAGUAUCGUUGCUCAGCAUCCUGAGAAUGAUGAAAAUCUCACAAAACCCAAUAUUUACAACAAAAGAAUAGCCACAGAACUUUUUUUUAAAAAAAAAAUUUAAACAAAAACAAUGAAAACAUAGAACAGGCCAGACUGAUGAUCGAUCAAAAUCACCCAUUACUACAUAAAAUUCGAGAAUUUAAAAUCGUUCUGAUGCCCGUAUCUGCAAGUGAAAGAUUGGCUUCGAAAGUAUUCCACCUCCUCUUGUUGCCACUUUCCAUCAUCAAAGUUCUUAGAGCAGCUAAAGCUAUCAUAUAUAAUUCAACAGCUCGUGUCUUUCGCUUUCCUUUGCACACGAUGACUUCUUUAGAACUACCUACUCCUUCAGCUGUGGUGGCCUGGAUUAGCCUCUCCAAUAGAUGUUUUAUUGUACUCAGCCUUCCAUUGGCUCCAAAGAAGUUACUGCCAUGAACCAUCUUUCUGGUUCAUGCUAACUUGUUCAAGUGAUUUCUUUUCCAUCGCAAACAGAAUUGUUUCACCAAAAGUUACUUAUACCAUGGUCCUGGAGGCAGUGAAAUAAAAGAAGAUUCCACAUGUUUUUCCCUUAUCACAAUGCAUUAGUGAUUAGCCACCCACCCAGGACUAUUCAUCUCCCUAACCUGGAGUAAAUAGCUUUUUGUAAAAAAGAUGAACCCUAGAAAUCUUCACCAACCACUACUUUCCAUAAUGCCAAAUCCAUAUCUCCAUCCCAACCAUUUUAUAUUUCAUCUGCAUUACUAUUAACAUCAAGGGGUUCAUUCAUACAACAGUUCCCAGAGUUAAGACUUAGGAAUUGAGACAAAUUUAGUACAGCACAAAAUCACAAAUUCACCUCUAGAUAUUCAUAGCAUCUAGCUUCAUUUUAAAGCAACAACUCGGCAGAAUGCACAGAAAUAAGCUUAAAAUGCGAGCAAAAAAGUUAAGGUGGUGCUUAUGUUAUAAGAAAGGUACAUGCCAAAAGCUACAGUGGCGGCGGAGACGGAGUCGCGUAAUAGGCGGAUGGGGACGGUGGUGGAGAGCUUGAAUGCGCUCGCGGGAUCAUCUGAGCUCAUAAUCAAAGCCGCACCGGCUCCGCCUCCCGCGGCUGUGGCCGCCAUCAACAGUUUCGCUCUGGUGCGCCACACCGAUCUCACCGCCAUUUAUUGGCCUUCCUUUUUAAUUUUUUUCCCCUUGUCCCCGCCUUUUGAUUGGCUUCGGGUUUUUAUUUAGAACUCCAAGAAAACGGGGUGGACAGAGGCGAAACUUCCUCUAUUAUCCACAUAUCUUCUGACAGCAGCUGAAGCGGAUAUGAAGACUGUUGACACGCUCUGGGUUUUAGUUUCGGGUGGCUGACUCGUUUGUAACUUGCAUUUCAUUGUUUUCAUAUUUAAAUAUGCAGUUUUACCUUGUUCCACACCUAAAUCUGGAGAUAGAUAUCAACUGUUACGAUUGAUCAAUCUCCAGCUUUUUUAUGAGUUCUUCUAUCACUCUAUUGUUUCAUGAUUUUCCUCGCGCAUGCACUGUUGUGUAUGCACCUAUUAGGCUAUUACCUUGCAUGGUUAGUGCUGUAGAACAGAACAGAAUGGCUAUGUAGGUCAUAGAAGGUACCACAC
rnacentral:lncRNA from 1 species